CCAUUAUCGGGAGCAGUGCCUUCCAUAAUGA
rfam:Takifugu rubripes chromosome, Chr_10